UACGUAGGGUGCGAGCGUUGUCCGGAAUUAUUGGGCGUAAAGAGCUUGUAGGCGGUUUGUCGCGUCUGCCGUGAAAUUUCGAGGCUCAACCUCGAACUUGCGGUGGGUACGGGGCAGACUAGAGUGUGGUAGGGGAGACUGGAAUUCCUGGUGUAGCGGUGAAAUGCGCAGAUAUCAGGAGGAACACCGAUGGCGAAGGCAGCUCGCUGGGACGUGACUGACGCUGGAGACGCGAAAAGCGUGGGGAGCAAACAGG
rnacentral:rRNA from 1 species